rnacentral:lncRNA from 7 species
CAACAGACCUCAAUGGGCCACAGGGACAUCCCAGAGGAGAAGCCACUUAAUCUGGAGCAGGUCUCACUGCCCGAUGGUGGGGACAAAGACGAGGCUGGUGGCUCCCUGGCAGACAAAGCAGUGUUGUGGGGGAUUGUUCAGUCUGAAGAAGAGGAGCUCAGAGGAGACUUUAUCACUCUCUACAACACCUGAAAGGAGGCUGUGGUGAGGUGGAGGUCGGCCUCUUCUCCCAGGUUUCUGGCUCUGUACGUUGCAGGUCAUUUAUAUUUUCUACUCAGAAUCUAAAGGCUGGAAACUGACUCAUUGUUAAUAGAAAGUAUAAAAGCCCACUAGGAGCAACAUGAUUCCAGGAGCUCAGACUAUCAUGGGAACAUCAAAUGCACCUGGCAUCGUGAUAAGGCCAUCAGAAAUUAGCAACACCAAAGGUGCAUCCUGGGUGUCCUUCUAACACAGAUCAUAGCUGACAUAUAUCUGUCUGUACUGACAUCACCUGGAGCCUCAGCAGCAUACUUUGGAGCAGAGCAAAUCAAUGUCAAUAAGGAGUGCCAAUACCCAAAGUUCUCUCCUGUUCCAGAAGAGGAGCAGCAUCAGAGAGAUGGGCUGGGAUGGGACAACAAGGCAAGCAUGACUGUGGCUAUCACACAGGGAGGCUGGGGCUGCACCGUUCUGUGGCAUUUGUCACAGAAUAUGCCAAAAUGCAAGGGUGGAAAUGAGCUUUAAGGCAUGACUGGAAGAUACGCCAAUGGCAAUUAUUAAACAUCUCGGUGCAGUGU